rnacentral:rRNA from 1 species
GACGAACGCUGGCGGCGUGCUUAACACAUGCAAGUCGAACGAAGCACUUAAGUCAGAUUCUUCGGAUGAAGACUUUUGUGACUGAGUGGCGGACGGGUGAGUAACGCGUGGGUAACCUGCCUCAUACAGGGGGAUAACAGUUAGAAAUGACUGCUAAUACCGCAUAAGACCACAGCACCGCAUGGUGCAGGGGUAAAAACUCUGGUGGUAUGAGAUGGACCCGCGUCUGAUUAGCUGGUUGGUGGGGUAACGGCCUACCAAGGCGACGAUCAGUAGCCGACCUGAGAGGGUGACCGGCCACAUUGGGACUGAGACACGGCCCAAACUCCUACGGGAGGCAGCAGUGGGGAAUAUUGCACAAUGGGGGAAACCCUGAUGCAGCGACGCCGCGUGAAGGAUGAAGUAUUUCGGUAUGUAAACUUCUAUCAGCAGGGAAGAAAAUGACGGUACCUGACUAAGAAGCCCCGGCUAACUACGUGCCAGCCGCCGCUGUAA